rnacentral:rRNA from 1 species
AUGGCGAUCAUCAGCUCGGCGAGUACAAAACUGACAUGGAUCUUGGCACCGCUGCUCGUCCUGGCCACGACGACGAUUCGAGUCCAUGGCCAGCCUUCUUCUACCACUGGGUUCAUAAGCCUCGACUGUGGAUACAGAAACAAUACUCCCUACACCGACAGCAGCAUACGAGGAAUACAGCACCAGUCCGACGUUGGAUUCGUCGAGGGCGGUUUGACCCACCAAAUAGCAGCAGUGUACAUGGCUGGUGCCCCAUAUGAGAGCCAAAAAACCUUGAGGAGCUUCCCCAACGGCUCAAGGAAUUGCUACACGCUGCCAUCCACCCCUGGUAAAAAGCUGGUGAGGGCCAUGUUUACUUACGGCGACUACGACGGGUUGAACCGGACCAUGGACGGGUCGCCAUUUUUAUUUGGGCUCCAUAUCGGUGCCAAUUUCUGGGAGGCGGUAAACUUGACAAAUUGGGAUCCAUCAAGCACAAUAUGGAAGGAGGUGCUCACCGUUGCUCCGGGCGACUCCGUGUCAGUCUGUCUCAUAAACUUCGGUACAGGGACUCCGUUCGUGUCUGCGUUGGAGCUGAGGCCCCUGCAAGAUUCAAUGUACCCUUUUGUGAAUACUUCAGUGUCAAUCAGCUACUUUAGACGAAUCAGAUUUGGUCAAACCACUGACUUCAUCACAAGAUAUCCAUUGGACCCUUACGACCGGUUCUGGGAGGCCUGGUCCUACACCACCUACCCCUGGAUCAGCCUAAACACCAGCACUCAAGUGAGGAGGCUACCCGGCGACAACACCUUCCAGGUACCAGAGGGCAUCCUAAAGCAGGCCUCGACCCUAGACACAAACUACUCCUUCCUCGAGAUCAACGUGACAGUGGGUCCCAACCUGGACGCCAAGAACCUGCAGCUUCUCCCGAUCUUCCACUUUGCCGAGAUCAACAUUAGCAACCAGAACAGGAGGUUCAACAUCUACAGCGACAACGACUUGCUGUUUCCAGACUUCUCACCGUCACGAUUCCAGGCAGACAGCAUGCAUGAAAACGGGCGGUUCUUGCACAACCCUGCUGCGAUCUUCCUCCUGAACAAGACGCGCAGCUCAAGGCUCCCGCCGCUCAUCAAUGCAUUUGAGGUGUACUCGCUAGUGCGGAUGGAUAACCUCACCACUGACGCCGACGAUGUCAAUUACAUGAAAGAAGUCAAGAAACACUACAAUUUGGCACGAAUAAACUGGAAUGGAGAUCCAUGCUCCCCCAGAGACUAUUCCUGGGAAGGUUUGACUUGCGACUACUCUAAGAGAAACCAGAAUCCGAGGAUUGUUGCAGUAGAUCUGUCUAAUAGUGGACUGAAAGGUGGAUUAGUCAUAUCAUUCAUGAACAUGGCAUCACUGGAGAACUUGGAUUUAUCACACAACAAUUUGACAGGAGCUAUUCCAGACUACCAAAUAAAGUCACUCAAAGUUCUCGAUUUGUCAUAUAACCAGCUCGAUGGACCAAUACCUAAUUCUAUUCUUCAAAGAUCUCAGGCUGGUCUACUUGACUUAAGGUUAGAAGGCAAUCCCGUAUGCUCAAAAGUCAAAGAUACAUACUGUUCAAAUAAGAAGAACACCAAAUCUACCAUGCUCGUCGCAGUGAUAGUUCCUGUAGUACUGGUAUCCCUCCUAGUAGUGAUGUGCAUACUCUGGAAAUUGUGCUGGAAAGGGAAGUCAGGAGACAAUGAGGAUUAUGCUAUGUAUGAAGAGGAAACGCCCCUACAUAUUGAUAUCAGACGGUUCACAUACGCAGACCUGAAACACAUAACAAACGACUUCAAACAAAUCGUUGGAAAAGGAGGUUUUGGUACUGUUUAUCAUGGCACAAUGGAAAAUGGUGAGGAAGUAGCUGUUAAGGUGCUUAUGGAGACAUCAAUAGCAGAGUCAACAGAUUUCCUCCCUGAGGUGCAAACCUUGUCCAAAGUUCAUCACAAGAAUCUCGUGACUCUACAAGGAUAUUGCCAGAACACGAAGUGCCUAGCCCUCGUUUAUGACUUCAUGCCCAGAGGAAAUCUUCAGCAGCUUUUAAGAGAAGGUUUUCCCUCCACUAUUUCAAUUUUUCUAUCAAACAUAGUUGACUUAGGAGAUGACUACGGUUUGACUUGGGAACAGCGACUUCAUAUUGCACUUGAUUCGGCACAAGGACUGGAAUAUCUACAUGAGUCAUGCACCCCAUCAAUAGUUCACAGAGAUGUCAAGACCGCCAACAUCCUUCUGGACAAGAACCUGGUGGGGAUCAUAGCUGAUUUUGGGCUUUCGCGGGCUUUCAAUGAUGCGCACACACAUAUAUCUACAGUUGCUGCUGGCACUCUCGGCUACCUCGACCCUGAGUACCAUGCAACUUUCCAGCUCACCAUCAAGACAGACGUUUACAGCUUCGGCAUCGUGCUCUUGGAGAUCAUCACUGGCAAGCCCCCGGUAUUGAUGGACCCUCACACCUACCACCUACCAAACUGGGUACGCCAAAAGAUUGCGAAAGGCAGUAUUCAAGAUAUCGUGGACAAGAGGCUGUUGGAUCAGUACGACGCCAAUGCCCUGCAGAGCGUGGUGGAUCUUGCCAUGAACUGCGUAGAGAGUGCAGCCAUCGACAGGCCAAGCAUGACCGAGGUUGUUUCAAGGCUAAAAGUGUUGUUGCCAACAACUCCAAGCCAGAAACAGUAUGCUUCCCCGUCCUCCACGAAGUCCAUGAAUGAUGAAAUGCGAAAGCAGUUCCAGCUGUUGAUUUCUGGAGAAGUCAACGACGAGAGCUCCAGCUCCUUCCAGUCUGGCUAUACCAGUCGGAUGACACAACUGGUCCCCUUAUCUGGACGGUGA